rnacentral:rRNA from 1 species
GGGAGAGAGAGGAGGCAGGGGAAGGGAGGAAGGUAGACUGCGCGCCCCGGGUGGGCAGUUAGAGGCAGCGGGAGGGGGCGGCGGCGGCGAGCGGCCUGCCGUCCCGGGCCGGCGCUCCCGAGGGCGCCUAAGAGGUGCGGGCGGAGGGCGGAGACGGCGGCGUCGGCAGCGGCUAGGCCCGGCUAGCGCCGCAGGCAGGCAGAGAUCCCAAAGCGAGGAGCGCCGGGGAGGCUCCGGCAGGCUCUCUAGGGCUAGAGGGUCCGGACCUGCGCGGUCCGAGUGCAGGGCCGCUAGCCGCUGAGAGCUAAGCCUGGGGGCCGCUCCCCGCGUUCGAGCUCCCCUCUCCGGUACCGGAGCUCGGACGAGUGGUGUCUGUUCUCUACCCGACGAGGAUGUUCCUUUAGACCGUACUGACAAGAACCUUUUUAGGGUUUCGGGUAAUUAAACGGUUCAGUCUCCAACCUUUUAGUUCCAGAACUGGGGUUACACCUUUAGCAAGGUUUCCCGUGGGAGUGUACCCCGUCGUUUGGUCCUGGAUGUUGUGGUUUACGUACCUUAAGGAGCAGUGAAGAUAGAGGGUUCUUCCUACCUUUAAGACCACGUGGUUCGGUUAAGUUACCGGCAGGGAGAAGGCCACCUCCAAGUUCCGGGAGUUGUCGACCUUCACUUAGAGAACUGAGAGGAUUACGAACCCCAGGUUUAAGAGCUGGCAGGAGUCGUAGACCGUGUAAUGGUAGUGUUUUACAUGGUCACCAGUGUUUAGCAGGAGCUUCACGUCUCUGUUCUGGUCCUUCGAGUGUCGAAAGAGCCAAACGUCUAUUGGGGAGUCUAUUAUACUUACAUAGCUAUUCCUGACAACUGUCUAGCCCUAGAAGUGUACCCGUACGCAAAUGAGAUUCAUGGCCACUAAAGGGUUGUGAACCAAGACUCUUUUAGAGACUUAGUUUGUCAGUUGCUCCAGUAUCAAGUUUUCCCGCGGGUUGAAGAUCAAGACCGUUUCUACCUUGGGUUUUACUAUGCCCCUUCUCGGAUAGACGACCUAGACCGCUUCAUCAAGCUGGUGGAUUAUUAGUUGGUCGUCUAUAGUACUUCUGUCUAGUCGUCCGUGUACUACCUUCACGAGGGAAAGGACGGUGUCCAGGAGGUUUACCUCGAGUCGUCGGUGUCGGUAUGGGAGGAUUGAUAACAUACGGGGGAGGCGUCAAACUAAGUACCGCACGUGGAGGACCGGUGGGUGGACUCCCUUACACCGUAUCUCCUGGUCCACCGGGUAUGUCUGGUCAACCAGGGAGAUCGUUAAAGGGACACCUUGGUAAGGGAAUAAUACCAGUCAAGGGUGGGUUGAGUCUUCGUCGACGUUCCGUCCCGAGUCCCGUACCACCUAUAGUGAGCUUUUUACGGCUACGUAUAGUAAGAUACUGAGGAUGAAGCAUACAAUACUUAGUUGGACAAUAAGGUCGGUCCGGUCAAAUGGUCCCGGGUUAGGGAAUACUACCUAUAAUACGAGGAGUUGCCGGUUUAAAAUUAUUACGGUUACAUUCUCUAAGUGGUAAGUAACCUCCGGGAGUAGUUGGUCCUUAUAACUUAGUUAAAGGGUUAGUCUUACUCUUUAAGGUCGGACCUGUAAGAGGCUCGUCUCGUCAGUUUGUGCUUCGUUCAGGGUUCCUCGAGAGGCUUAGACUAUCUCAUGUCAACUAAACAGCUCCUGUUUGAUCCUAAAACGUACUAUUGGGACUAGCAAAUCACCCAGGACCACUUCAACUUUCCUUCUCAGUCGGACGUGGUGGUGAAGAAGGUGUAGGUCUACCUUUAGCUUUGCUACAUUUGUGUUUCCGUCUAUGUUCCUUAUGGGGAUCACUUUCCUUGUACCACGAAUACUUCAGUCACGUACUAUUGUCUCCAGGAUUAGCAUGUUCGGUAAGCAGACAAAACCUUUUACGUGUAAGGGUAGGGUCCCUUUGACUACUACCGCGGGUGGACUUUUUCAAUUUCCUCCUAUUAGAAGGCGAACUAGUCGUUGGAUAGUAAUUCUUCUUACGUCGAAACUAUCUCUUUUAUCCCUCAAACUUGUUGUUUCGAUCUUUACAACUACGUGCAUUACAACGUCUUCGUAAAAGUUUGUUCCUUUAGUUUCUCUUCGUCGAUUUUUUACGACUAAGUUUUCGUCUAGCCCACUAUUUUCUACAAGGUAGAUGAGGACGGUAGUGACGAAAACGAAGACGAAUACCGGUCCGUCGUACACAAAGAGGAGCAAGAGGACACCAUGUCUUUGACGUCUUCCCUGGAUUACUACCGCCCCAACAACCUGGCGAUGUGAGUGUAAAACGACUUCGGUCGUUCAGACCUUUCGACCCACAUAGUUGAGUACUAGCGUGUGUAUCCGCCCGACUAAGAAGUUCUUUAUCGGUGGUACCAGGACGAUUUCUGUACGGUGGGUUGUUAUGAUGUCCUGUACCCGCCCCUCUUUUAAUACGUUGACUUAGAAACGGUCAUCAAGUUCACUCCUUAUCAGUCGUACUGGUCGGAGACCUCGUACAAAGCGUCGACGGUGGACUACUAUACGGUCGAAGUGGACUAAUACUUAGAGUCGCACAUUUUUACUCCCUCAACCGACAUGUCGCACGGUUUGUUAACGUUCGACUCCUUCUUCUCGCCUGUUUCGCUGUUUUCCGUUUUCGAGAACGUUUUAACCUCCUCGACUUGUUUGCAAGUAGUCAUGUAGUCUUCCUAAGGUCACUAGGUGGUGGUCUUUUACUGCUGCACGCAUUAUUCGUUUUCCGACCUCAACUACCCUGAUGACUUGGACGCAGAAGUUGACGACUUAGUGUACUACAAUGACAUAACCUAUUACAAUCAUAAGAAGUCGGUGGCUUACUUGGGUUCCUAUGACGUCAAGGACGUGUCGGGUACAGGUGAGAUGAUGUAUGACUCCCUUGUCCAUUUCUAGGAAGACCAGUAUUGUGAAGUUGGAGUCCGUACUUGUGUGUCUCGUUGUACUGCCUCGUAUAUCGUGUAUUUUCAUAUAGUGACAGUGUACUACAGUCACAAGGUUUCGGAUCCGUCCCGUUGUCUUUUUCCGUACGACAAAGUCUCCUAUUUUAAGAACCACUCUUCAGUUCACACCGUCAUUUGUGUCUUUUACAAUUCUUUCGACAACUCCAAAGAAACCUGUGUAGUUGACGACAACAAUGUAGUGUACUACUAGGGGGUCGGGUGUCGUUCUUCUCACGGUCCUUGAGCUCUUUAUUCUUUUUUCAACUACUACGAGGACGAUGAAGAUUUAUAGGUGGGUACCAAGAACCAGUCGUCUUAUGUGGUCCGUAGAGGUCACUCGGUUUUUAUUUUUGGCGACCGCAAUAGUAAUCAUCAAGAUAUGAAGGACGACUUUUGUGGCACGAAUGACAACCUUCAUAUUGGCACCCACCAUAAAGUAAACCUAGAAAAUUGGUCCUCGCGGACUUUAAUGGUCUCCUUCGAGUCUCGUGACGUUUAUCGGCGGGUUUUGGAGUCGUUCGUUUUCCUAGUUUUUUCUAAGUUGUACGAUAGGCUGGACAGCUCUUCGGUGUACCCUUACUCUCACAACAGACCCGUGGUCAAUUCGGUAGUCCCACCUUACUUGGUAGACUCCUUCGAUUGCAUCGUCAUCGUCGGUCCGGAUUCGGUUAACCUUUCCCGUGGUGGCUACCCCUCUUACAGUGUGCUUGAUUCUCUCGACUUUACCUUUCUAUACACGGAUUCGGUGACAGGUUUCUCGAAGUUGUCGUCUUAAACCUUGUUUUAAAUGGACAUCUUUUUAGGAGACACCUCUUGUUCUCAUUACUAUUACUCUUCAAUUGGCGACGAUUUCUCGGGUUCUUUACCCUCCUGUCUUUUUGAUCAUUUCCCGUACCCUUCAGAGUAAGAAGAACCGCGUCUUCCUUAUGUCUACUGAGUAGAAGCCACCAUGGUUAUGGAAGACUCGCUCGUCUGUCGAUAGUUCUUAGUGUGCUUCAAGUCUCCGGAAGACUGUUCGUAGGCGUCGAACUUGGACUGUUCGUUCGUCUAAUACGACGGCCCUUAUCAAACCGAGGUCGACUUCGUCAACUCAAUGGACGGUCGCGGCGUUUUCUUGUACGCCGUCGAUUGUCCGUUUCCUCCGUCGUACAAUUCCCGGGUUUUUUGCUCCGUUCAUUGAUGAGUUUACUCUUGUCUCUACCGUCCUUUCUACACUUAGUGUACAGUUGUGCACCUUACCUACGUUUGAGAAGACUUGUAUCUUUGUACAGUUUUGGACUCCACUUCUCGUCGCGUCGUGUGAGAUCUCGUGUGACCUUUGGUUUUAGAAGUGUAAGGGUCUUAUUGAGUGUCCCGUUAUUAUGGUGACUUCCAGUCCACCUGUCACGAUGAGACGUUCUGUCGUCGUUAGCAUUAUCAUUAGUUCCAUUUCCACUGUACUGUUUACAACUACUCUUGGUCUUCCCACUCUCAGUACUUUUACGUCUUGUCGUCGUCGAAUUAGUACGUUGGGCAGCGGUCCCUGUCGUGUUGCCCUCCAUAGUGUCCCCUUCGUCACGCGUGUCCCCUUCCCCAAUACUACGACCCGUCGGUUCGGUACCGCGUUUACGUCUUUCCGCCUUCCCAUCGUGAGUAGAACUUAUGGUCGGUCAACCGAGGUUGUUUGGGAGUCUGAAGGUCGUCUUGGGUUCACGGCUACCUGUUUCACGUCCCGGAGGUCGAGGUCCUGGCCACAUGUCCCUCGCGCCGGUGUUGUCCCCGGUGGCGGGCGGACCACCAGUGAAACAGUUCGCCUUAGGACGGGGACGGGGUCGGGGCCGAGGUCGAGGAUUAAGGAUGGCUCUUCUUACUAGAAGGGAACGGGGGUACUAACAACUCUAAAUCCUUACAGCUCAGUAAGUGUUGUCGUCCAACUUACAAAGACCGUCACCGCUCCGCCAGCAGCCAGACCCAGUGGUCAUCCAACAUUACAAAAAAAACAAGGGUCCCGAAAACCCGGAAUCGCACACUAACAAUUAAAAAGGCUUCCUGUAGGGAACGAAGCCACUCUACACUACGAAAUUAACAUGAUUGCCUCAACUAAUUCAUGACCCUGCACUUUUACGAUCAUCACAAACGAUUGCCCUUGUCUUCGCAACAAAAAGAUGAAUAAACAACCAUAAGCCAUGUACUUUCAACAACAGUACAACACAAAGGCAACUGACCUUCUAUCCAAACAGUCCUUAUUAACUGAAGAAAACAUGUUAUACCAAUGUUGCUUCCGGGAACAUGCUAUAAUGGAAAAGAAAAUAAGUUACACUCGAGGACCAAAGCAAG